rnacentral:misc_RNA from 1 species
AACAUCGCGCACCUGCGGGAACCUGCGGAAGGAUCAUUACCGAGUGUGAACCCCCCCGUAAAAAAGAGGGGUUACCUCCCGUCCUUUGCUGGGAACCCCUUUCCAACUUGGAAGGAGGUUGUUUUCAGACCCUUCUGCUUCGGUGGGGUAACCCACCGGAACAACCUCAAAAAUAUUCUCAAUUCAAAACCGCUCAGUCCGAGAACUUUUUUGAAAAGCGAAAAAACUUUCAACAAUGGA